UAACCGCUCCGGGACUAAUUGAGCACCGCGGGGAUUGUUGCGGAUGUUAUGGAGCCGGAUUUAAGCACGGGAUUAUCCKUCAUGCCUGCAAAUACUACAUCAGAGCCUUGCUCCUGCCCGCUGGUGACGAUGACUGCGCAGAGGAAGGUUUCUUGGUAGCAGCCUCCACGGAUUGUGAAACUCUUGGAGGCACUGAGUCAAGCGACCCCGAAGGCACUUUUAUACAGGUAGAAGAAAAGAUCGCCGAGGCUGCYGAAGCUGACGUUGAAGCUGCAGAUGCCCUGCCCUUUGCUUGAGGCACCUAGG